CCAUCAGUGGUUCAGUGGUCGAAUACUCGCCUACCAUGAGGGCCGCCCGUGUUCGAUAUCCUGUCGAUGCA